AUCAUUACCCUUAUACUGGAUGCAUUUUACAGUAUGCAGCCUGAUGACUAUAGCGAUUAUGCGACACUGAGGGAUUAAACCAGCCAAUCUGACCAUUAGAAGGCUUUUGUUUGCGGUAUCACUCCACGUCUUAAUCCUUCCGGUCCUUAAAGAAGAGAACAGAUGGAUCCUUUUAGUCUUAUCCUCACUAGGGACGCAGGUGUGCUGGACCAGCCUAUCCCAGCUAUCUUCAGGCAAGCGGCGGGGUCCACCCUGAGCUGGUCGCCAGCCAAUCGCAGGGCACGUAUACACAAACAACCAUUCGCACUCACAUUCACACCUAAGGGCAAUUUAGUGUCUUCCAAUGAUCAAUUAUGCAUGUUUUUGGAAUGUGGGAGGAAACCGGAGUACCCGGAGAAAACCCACGCAGGUACGGGGAGAACAUGCAAACUUUGAACCCCUGGUCCUCAGAACUGUGAGGCAGAUGUGCUAACCAGCCGACCACCGGUGUACCCCGCCUCCCGCCCGAAGAUAGCUGGGAUAGGAUAAGCGGAACGGAAGAUGAAUGCCCGAAUGACCUUUAUUACAACCACAACUAUAACUUCAUCCACAUCAAGCUCAUAUUAAAGCCCCUCUUGGCUCUUUUCACAUGCAUAGAUGCCAUCCAUAAAGUGAAACCGGCAGCCCGGCACACCAGUGUUGUUUUUAUCGCAGCGUCCUCACAUCUUUUCACUCUCAAAGGGAUCCACAUUUGGAACAACUGAUAUGGUGAAGUUCAGCAGUCUGGUCAGUGUUCGAAGGCGGCGUGGUGGUCCUAAAUGGGGUAUGACUACAUGAAGUUAUGGUCUGGCAAUGAUAUCAUAUCAGCGCCAUUUAUUAGUGCGCUUUAAUGUCUUAAGAGCAAGUUAACUGCCUCAUGUCUGCAGCACUUGUAUCAUGUCUCCAUCUUUUAUUAUUAUUAUUAAUAUGUUAUCAUUAAUAAUAAUAAUAACAAUAUUAAUAAUAAUAAUAAUAAUAAGAAGAAGAAGUAGUAUUUUAGGUUUUAGAUUCAUAGAGCUCAAUUAUAACUACCGAUGACUUGUUCCCCUCCUUGAACCGUCACCUUAUCGUGGUGGAGGGGUUUGCGUGUCAAGAUGAUCCUAGGAGCUAAGUUCUCUGGGGCUUUAUGCCCCUGCUAGGGUCACCCAUGGCAAACAGGUCCUAGGUGAGGGACCAGACAAAGCAGGGCUCAAAGACCCCUUAUGAUGAUGACAAACAAUGGACUCAGUUUUCCCUUGCCCAGACGCGGGUCACCGGGGCCUCCCUCUGGAGCCAGGCCAGCCCGGAAGUGGGGCCUGGUGGCCGGGCCUGCACCCAUGGGGGCCCGGCCGUGUGUUUUGUAGACUUGGAGAAGGCAUUCGACCGUGUCCCUCGGGGAGUCCCGUGGGGGUUGCUUCGGGAGUAUGGGGUUCCGAACCCCCUGAUACGGGCUGUUCGGUCCCUCAGAGUUUGGUCCGCAUAUCUGGCAGUAAGUCGGACUCGUUCUCGUUGAGGGUUGGACUCUGCCAAGGCUGCCCUUGAUCACCGAUUGUGUUCAUAACUUUUAUGGGCAGAAUUUCAAGACGAGCCUUCAUAUGUUGGCGGAUAUUUGGCAACCGAUUCAGUUUGGCCACGGCGCCAUUCAUGGCAGGCACAUCACAGCCUCGUGUGAACGCGAAGUGCGUUCAGGGCCACUGCUUAAAUGGGAGUGCACGUGUUCUUUUGUAAUACAGUACAUAACUGUAAAAAAUGAUUACUAGGAAAAUUAUUGUUUGUAUCAGAAUGCUUUAGUUACGACUGUACGAUUACACUGUCGUGAUACAGAAUUUAUUUUGUUUUGUAAUGUAAGAAUCGAAAUCUAAUAUUUUGUUAAUAUAGCCAGCCAGAGCUUCGAGGAGUGCAAAGUUAUCAAUAUCCUUUCACCAUCGUUCCUGUCAUUAUGUUGCAUUUCUUCAAAUGUCAUUUUUUUGGUCUUAAUUCCUCACUUUAAAAAAGACCAUUCAACCAACCAAGUUUUUCCUCAUGUUUUUGAGAUUGUAGGGUGAAAGCUGCAGCUGGCUACUCGUGUGGACUGAAUAGGUGGCAACAUAUUGAGAAAAAACAAAAAAGAACUAUGAACUGGUACUUUUAUGGAAUGGUGAACUUAGUUCAAAAGUUUGAAUUAUGAACUACAAAGUGAACUAUUUCAUUUUCGGAACAGUGAACUGAACUUUGAACUCGUUCUUGUACAAAAUGAACUUUCCCAACACUGGCCAGCAACCUGUUCUGCUGCCUUGCGAAUCUUUUGGUUUAGCAUGUAGCUAAUUGUUUUAGCAAUACUUAUCAUGUAUGCAAUUUGUAGGGAUAGGUAGGAAUAAAACACAAACACAACAUUUUGAAACAAUCAGUCAAAUGCCUCAAAUCAUUGAAGGCUCCCUUAAUUGGCACUUGUUGCUAGGCAGAAUUCAUAAGGCUUAAUUGUAACCUGUCGCGAUGCAGAAUUCAUAGGGCUUGGUUAUAACUGCCCCCUUGCUUGACACCAGGCAGAAUUCGUAGGGCUCGAUUAGAACUGGCUGCACGCUUGUCGAUAGCCGGGCAGUUAUAAUUGGAUCCUGCGAAUUCCGCCUAGCGACAAGUGGCCGCGCACAUGUUAUUAUGCCCUAUAAAUUCUGCCUAGUGACAAGUGGGUAGGAAAUUGUAAUAAAAUACUAAAUCUAACUAGCAAGAGAGAAUGGGCAGGUAUACUUGAGCCCUACGAAGUCUGCCUGGUGGUAAGUGAGUGGGCAGUU